UGGCCAUGGCUCUUCUUGUCCUUCCUCUU
rnacentral:piRNA from 1 species